GACGAGUGCCCCAAGCGUUAUCCGGAAUUAUUGGGCGUAAAGGGUGCGUAGGUGUCCCAUUAGGUUUCUCGUUAAAAUCCAAGGCUCAACCUUGGGGGUGCGAGAAAAACCGAUGGGAUUGAGGGUGUGAGAGGUGCACGGAACUCAUAGUGUAGGGGUGAAAUCCGUUGAUAUUAUGGGGAACACCAAAGGCGAAGGCAGUGCACUGGCACAUUCCUGACACUGAGGCACGAAAGCCAGGGUAGCGAAGCGG
rnacentral:misc_RNA from 1 species